UUACUUUGUGUUCUUCACUCUCGCGGUGUGUUGUGAUCGUUCGAAACUCAUUGCCAGAACGAAUGUAAAUUUCAUUUGGGAAGGAUCGGUGCCGGAAGAUGCAGUGAAAAUUAUGAAAUGUUAAUAGAAAAGUGAUUAAGUAAAUCGUGAAAGAUGUCAUCGCAGGCGUAAAUGCAGUUUGUUUUGUUACAUGAUCUACGGCUAUUUCAUCACCAAAGCUCCUGAUAACAGAUCAAAGCAGAUGGAUAGGGUAUACAGAGUCGCCGUUUAAUUUAAAAUAUCUUCGUGAUCGGCAAACGCAUCAAACAGCAAGUGUUUCUCUUCCAACAGCACGCACCAUCGGUGGAUCAAGCAGCUAACGAUUUGAUCGCCAGUACGCGCCAUCAAGAAUUGAUAUUUUGCCAAACAGUACUGUGAAUAAAAAACUGCACACUUGCUGUCAAAAUUUCCUGGAAUUUU